rnacentral:rRNA from 1 species
UACGUAGGGUGCAAGCGUUUGUCCGGAAUUAUUGGGCGUAAAGAGCUCGUAGGCGGUCUGUCGCGUCGGCUGUGAAAUCCCGAGGCUCAACCUCGGGUCUGCAGUCGAUACGGGCAAACUUGAGUGUUGCAGGGGAGACUGGAAUUCCUGGUGUAGCGGUGAAAUGCGCAGAUAUCAGGAGGAACACCGGUGGCGAAGGCGGGUCUCUGGGCCGAUAUCGUGACGCUGAGGAGCGAAAGCGUGGGGAGCGAACAGG